GAAGUCAGGAACACCCAGACUCCUGAUUUGUCCAGUCUUGGUGCUCUGUUCUACAGCUGGAUCCUUUCAACUGGGUAUGACUUAUCUUUGGCUUUCAUCCAACUGCCUGAAACCCUAUCAAAGCCAUAAAUAUCACCUCAGCCCUUGAACUGGACCUCAAGGAGAUGAAAAAUCCCUCCAUCCUCUGAAAGGCCUCUGAAAGGUACACACUAUCAACCUUUUUUAUGGUGUGACAAGAAAAUUAUAGCAAGACAUAAAAUUCAAGCUUUGACUACUGCUUGUGCCAUUCCGCUACUGAACAGAUUCCAAGAGCAACGGGCAUCCAGGUUUAAGAACAAGACCUCCUUUGCCUGCCCUCCCUGAGUGGGCUACAGGGACUUUGCACAUCCCGGCUUGCGGCAAUGCCCUGGCAUGAGGCCUUGCUUCCCCCCGCAGCACAAGUGCAGGCAGAUUGAUGCCGAGGAGUUGGAAGGAGAGCCACAAAUCUUGCCUCAAUUACAGCCAGGACACUCAAUCUGCUGCCUUGCCUUCCUAUUGAUAAUAUCUGGGCAGUAAAUUAUCAUAUCAAAGGAAAAAAAAUCAAAGCGGCAAAGUGAUAAUCAUCUCCAAUUCCUAGUGAAUAAGCAACUAAUGAGAGAUUUAAUGUACUGCAAAUGCAGGAGGUACAAAAAAAUAAUUACAGACCUCUGAGAAAAAUGGCAAACUGUCAAAGACUUCUAGGAAAAAGGAGGAGAAAGUUUUUCGAGUAGUGCUUGUUAUAUGGAAAACUGUGGAGCCACCACCCCUAACAACAAUAGAUGCAUUAGGAAAAUUAUACUCAAGCACAUGCACUUGGUGUGUUUCCUUCUUCUGUGUGUUCUUUAAAUCGCGUUUCAGCAGGACACCGUCAUCUCUUUUUCUUGUAGUAAAGAUCAUUUCCCUGGUUGCAGGAAAAGUCAAAUUUCUCUGCUGAUGUUUUGGAAUGGAUAACAGUGCAGGCAGGCAUGGAGCCUUCCAGCCUAAAGGGCUGUUUGAAAAUAUCUGCUGUGAGAAAUUCAGCCAACCUGGAGGCAGCAAUAGGGAAAAUCAAGUGUCUGUCUGUGAACCGGCAAUGUGUCUGCCUGGAGCUGGGAGUCGGUGAGCGAUAAAGCUGUGAUAGACUGCGGCUCUGCCAAGGGGAUCUGCUGUGUUUGUAACCCAUGGGUGGGUGACAUGGUGAUCCAUGGUGCAGUGUCUGAAAGGAGAUGAGCAAUGAGACUGAGUCUGUAAGUCAAAGCUGUAUUGCAUGGGAGAUGUGUUGUUGGUGAGGUUUUUAUGGCUGAAUGUGUAAGAACAUUGCACCUUACACGUACCAUGCAGCAGGAAUCUGUAAGACCAAGCCAGACUCUGGACCUAAAGGGGGGAAGAUGGUGCUCAGGUGCUAGAUCUGGCUGUGGGGCUGGGCUGCUUGCAGUGGGGACCAAGGUGGGUAAGAGGAAAGGUUUAGGCAGGGUGUGGGAAGUAGACUUGGACUUGCACAGAGUGGUGCUGGAAUUAGAAGAAGGCAUGAUGAACAAAUUAAUUGGGAUGCAAACAUGACGGCUCAGCGGCAGCGGAAAGGCAGCUAGGAGCUGUGCUGUAGGAGGGGAUGAGGGGCCUUGUGGUGUUUGUGACAGCUUGAGAAGAACAAACUGCUCCCUGGGGAGAGGAAAGCAGCAUUUCAGAUGUCUGCAAAACCAGUAUUUGUCCUUCUGGUGAGAGCGGGUGUGAGGGCCUGUCUGCAGAAUCUGGCCCUUUUCCAAACACUGAAAAAUAUCAUCCUUCUUCCAAAAAGCUUAUGGUCAAAACCAAAGGAAGACAAAGACAAGUUCAAAAGAAAGAAGAUAAAUUUAAGAGCAUACAAUCUUCAUAAUAUCAUUAAUAGCAAAUAAUGAUUUGCUUGACCUUGGCACUGCUCCCAGGAAGUCACACCAGGAUCAAGAAUGCAGCAAGAUGACGCAUUACUCACAGAGAUUGUGUCAAGCACCACCUGGUUCCUGUUAGCAGAACGCCUUGCUGACAUGGCUCAUUCGUUCUUCACUUGACUGAAAACUUAUGAAUUCAUUGCCCGGAUGGGGCUUGAUGGAACCACUUGUAAACCCUAACCAUUUUAAAAUGUCUAAUAAAUUAAAGAAGGAGAAAAACAGAACUCAAUAAAAUCCAUAAAAACGUG